ACAGAAAGACGUCAGCAAAACGACACACAUGAUCUCCAAACAAGUUCUCUAACACACUUGUGAAGAGUGAAUAUCUAAGUGAGAGUUCGUUGAGAAACACCGUGGAGAUUAACUGUUGAACGAGGAAGCUCGGUGUGUUUUUCAAUCUUCUAAAACAUCAAAUCGUGACAAAGCCUCCACUCUGAGAACAUGAGUAACCAACAGCAGCACUUCCUCUCAAUGUCCAGGCCUCAGCAUGGGAAUACAGCACAGCCAGGGUACUCCUGCCAAUCUUCCCACUACUGGAAACAAAAAUCCAUGGAAGGGCCCAUAGAAUUUAAAAACCCCUCUACAGGAGAAUUAAGUGCACAACAGACAUCCAGUCCCAAACGAGGCAUGCUGAAGAGACAGACAGCAGUGGACCAUGAGUAGCCUACAACAACACAACGACAAGAUGCAUUACAUAAGAAGUCAUACUUAUGAAGUUGAGCUCCUUCUCCAAACACAUUCGCUUGACAUUUGUAUCAAAGUUGUUAAUUCUAGCAUGCUUCGUGUGUUUUUGGAAAGAUAGAAAGUGUUCAUGGUACAUUUAUGGGCUUUAUGCUGCUUUCACCUUUAUUUGAAAAUGUGCUGCAUACUGACAGAGAAGAAGUCACCCCAAAUCACACAUUCGUUUUAAGGUGGACCAAUGAAAACACAGAUUAUAAUGUGAGUGGAUUUAUUUCAUAGUUUAUAACAUGUGUUUGAUGUUCUUCAAGGGGACUACUUGCAUUCUGGGACAUGUACUGAUAUUGCAUUUAUUGUGCAAAUGUUUUGUGUAGGCCAAACCAGUACUCUGUGAGUACUUUACUAUUUUAAGUGCUGUUCUUUUGUAAAUAUGUUUAUAUUUACACAUGCAGAUGCUGAACUGCAGAUUUCUUUGCUUAACAUAGUUCAGUGAUAUUCUAUGAAUAAUCUCCACCUGAUAACUGUAAUAUGAUUAGGCCACUGUCUUUUAAACUGCAUGUAAAGGGCUGAACACCAUCACUCUGUUCCAAAGGCCGACUCAAGCACAUUAAUACUAACUAUUCUGUUAGUUCUUCUAAAAUAAGCAUUUUCUUUUCUGUAUGUUUCUGAUUCUGUAAUUUUAUUUCUAAUGAGUGAUUUUACAGUUUGACAUUUAGAGCCUCAUUACAAACAUGUAAUGUACCUGCAGGUUUGUGUACAAUGAAUGAAUGUAAUAAUAAUAAU